rnacentral:other from 1 species
GUUGCUCGACCUUGUGCGUGAUCUGUAACUUUAUUGAGCCAACACAUUGUAUACGGGAGCUUUGUCUUCUCCCGCUAUCUGAGGGUAGCUGGGGAGCGGGCACCCACCUGCUGGAGCAGGUUCAAUAAACAAGCGGACACGGCAAGGUGGAGCUUUA